rnacentral:rRNA from 1 species
AGGGCGUGGGUGCUAAGGUCCACGUCCGAAAGAGGAACAACUCAGACCACCGGCUAAGGCCCCCAAAUACGGGCCGAGUUGAAGCCAAUAACGAGGUGGGAUUGCAUGGACAGCUAGGAUGUUGGCUUGGAAGCAGCCAUUCAUUUGAAGAGUGCGUAACAGCUCACUAGUCGAGUGAUCCCGCAUGGAUAAUAAUCGGGCAUAAGUCCGUUGCCGAAGCCGUGGAAUGCAGCAUAAAGCUGCGUUGGUAGGGGAGCAUUCCGGCAGCCGCAGAAGGUGGGGCGUGAGCCCUGCUGGAGGCACCGGAAAAGCAAAUGUAGGAAUAAGUAACGAUAAAGGGGGCGGGAAACCCCCUCGCCGUAAGACCAAGGGUUCCUGAUCAACGCUAAUCGGAUCAGGGUAAGCCGGGGCCUAAGUGGAAGCCGCAAGGCGCACACGAUGGACAAACGGUAAAGAAUCCGUUGCCCCGCAGUCCCAGUGAUGUGGAGACGGAGCAGUGACACACCCGCGUGCUGACGGAAUAGCACGUUGAACCGCGUAGGUAGACGCUGGGGAGGCAAAUCCCCCCGGCGUGCUGAAACGGGACAGUACGGAGCGCCCCCGGGCAAUCCGACAGCGGUGGUAACCAUACUCCCGAGAAAAUCCGCUAAACGCUAUAAAGGGCUGCGGGCCCGUACCGUAAACCGACACAGGUGGUCGGGUAGAAUAUACCAAGGCGCUCGAGAGAUUCACGGUUAAGGAACUAGGCAAAUUGACCCCGUAACUUCGGGAUAAGGGGUCCCCUCCUCCGGGAGGGGCGCAGAGAAUAGGUCCAGGCAACUGUUUAACAAAAACACAGGGCUGUGCGAAGUUGAAAGAUGAAGCAUACAGCCUGACACCUGCCCGGUGCCGGAAGGUUAAGAGGAGGCGUCAUCGCAAGAGAAGCGCUGAAUUGAAGCCCCGGUAAACGGCGGCCGUAACUAUAACGGUCCUAAGGUAGCGAAAUUCCUUGUCGGGUAAGUUCCGACCUGCACGAAUGGUGUAAUGAUCCGGACACUGUCUCAACCGUGAGCUCGGUGAAAUUGUAGUAUCGGUGAAGAUGCCGAUUACCCGCAACGGGACGAAAAGACCCCGUGAACCUUUACUGCAGCUUUGCAUUGUGACCGGGUGCUCGAUGUGUAGGAUAGUCAGGAGGCAGCGAAACAGCCACGCCAGUGGUUGCGGAGCCGACGUUGAAAUACUGACCUUCGCGCAUCUGGUCUCUAACGCCCAGGGGGCGGACAUUGCAUGGCAGGUAGUUUGACUGGGGUGGUCGCCUCCAAAAGAGUAACGGAGGCUUCUAAAGGUGCGCUCAGGCCGAUUGGUAACCGGCCGCAGAGUGUAAUGGCACAAGCGCGCUUGACUGGGAGACCAACAAGUCGAUCAGGUAGGAAACUAGAGCAUAGUGAUCCGGUGGUUCCGCAUGGAAGGGCCAUCGCUCAAAGGAUAAAAGGUACUCCGGGGAUAACAGGCUGAUCCCUCCCAAGA